rnacentral:rRNA from 1 species
GAGUAUAGAUGAAGCAGGCGGAAUGCGUGGUGUAGCGGUGAAAUGCUUAGAGAUCACGCAGAACUCCGAUUGCGAAGGCAGCUUGCUAAGGCAUAACUGACACUGAAGCACGAAAGCGUGGGUAUCAAACAGGAUUAGAUACCCUGGUAGUCCACGCAGUAAACGAUGAUUACUAGGAGUUUGCGAUAGACAGUAAGCUCUACAGCGAAAGCGUUAAGUAAUCCACCUGGGGAGUACGCCGGCAACGGUGAAACUCAAAGGAAUUGACGGGGGCCCGCACAAGCGGAGGAACAUGUGGUUUAAUUCGAUGAUACGCGAGGAACCUUACCCGGGAUUGAAAUGGACUGGAAGGACGGUGAAAGUCGUCAGCCAGCAAUGACCGCUCUGAAGGUGCUGCAUGGUUGUCGUCAGCUCGUGCCGUGAGGUGUCGGCUUAAGUGCCAUAACGAGCGCAACCCUGACUGUCAGUUGCUAACAGGUAAUGCUGAGGACUCUGGCGGGACUGCCGGCGUAAGCUGUGAGGAAGGUUGGGAUGACGUCAAAUCAGCACGGCCCUUACAUCCGGGGCGACACACGUGUUACAAUGGCACGGACAGAGGGUUGCUACCUGGCGACAGGAUGCUAAUCUCCAAACCGUGUCUCAGUUCGGAUCGGAGUCUGCAACUCGACUCCGUGAAGCUGGAUUCGCUAGUAAUCGCGCAUCAGCCAUGGCGCGGUGAAUACGUUCCCGGGCCUUGUACACACCGCCCGUCAAGCCAUGGGAGCCGGGGGUACCUGAAGUCCGUAACCGCAAGGAUCGGCCUAGGGUAAAACCGGUGACUGGGGCUAAGUCGUAACAAGGUAACC